rnacentral:misc_RNA from 1 species
GGUAAAUGAAUUGACUGCAAAAGGUGAAUCUAGUAGCCAAGAAAACAUACAUGGAAAUGAAAAAGGUGUUUUGAGAGCAGAGAAUGCUACCAUUGUGGUAAGUAACAAGCCCAGGAGUUCAGGGGAGUUGUCCAAUUCAGGAAUUCACAGUAUGCUGGUGAGAAAAGCUAGGAUGGAGAUCACCAAGAAGCUUAAAGAAUGGAGCACAAAUGCUACUUCUCAAACUUCAUCUGAGAAGGAAAAAGAAGAAGCAAAUUGCUCGUGAAGUUAUCAUAAAUGAUCUGAGAAGGGAUAAAACUGCUCAUGAUGCUAGGGUGGAUCCA